GUCUUAGUCGUCUAAUAGUCUAAACCAAAGAUUGGCCCUUGAGUGCAAAGGUAAAAGAGAGCUUGACUGCAAGACCCACUAUUCGAGAGGGACGAAGGUUGGCCUUAGUGAUCCGGCGGUGCCGAGUGGAAGGGGCGUCACUCAA
rnacentral:rRNA from 1 species